rnacentral:tRNA from 1 species
AGGAUUUUAGUUAAAUUAUAACAUUUAAAUUGCAUUUAAAAAUUAUAUUUUUUAUAUAAAUCUUA